rnacentral:misc_RNA from 1 species
GAAAAUUGGGACAGUCGAGAGAAUUUCUCCCUUAAUCGAGGCCUUCAACAAUUUUGAAUGUUCGUCAUCGAGGGUCCGAAGCCUUCUGAAUCUUCCGGGCGUUAGAUAAAGCCACAAGGUUCCCCAGCACAAAGAAAUGGCUAUCUUGUAUGCCGUUGUGGCACGAGGUACGGUGAUUUUGGCGGAGUUCAGUGCUGUCACCGGCAAUACUGGCGCCGUCGCGCGGCGGAUCCUUGAGAAGCUGCCGAAUGAAGCAGACUCUAGGCUCUGCUUCUCUCAGGAACGCUACAUCUUUCACAUUCUGAGAUCCGAUGGCCUAACCUUCCUCUGUAUGGCCAACGACACAUUCGGCAGGAGGAUUCCUUUUUCUUACUUGGAGGAUAUCCAUAUGCGGUUCAUGAAAAAUUAUGGUCGAGUGGCCCAUUAUGCCCCUGCAUAUGCAAUGAAUGAUGAAUUUUCGAGAGUCUUACAUCAGCAAAUGGAAUUCUUUUCCAGCAAUCCUAGUGCAGAUACCCUCAAUCGUGUUAGAGGUGAAGUAAAUGAGGUACGGACAAUUAUGGUGGACAAUAUUGAAAAAAUACUGGAGAGAGGUGAUCGUAUUGAACUGCUUGUUGAUAAAACUGCAACAAUGCAAGACGGUGCAUUCCAUUUCAAGAAACAGUCCAAGCGACUUCGCCGAGCUCUUUGGAUGAAAAAUGCAAAACUUUUAGCUCUGAUGACAUGUUUGAUCGUAGUAUUGCUAUAUGCAAUAGUUGCUGCUUUCUGUGGGGGAAUUACUCUAUCUUCU